GGAGUCUUCUCCGCUGGUUCCGGGGCUCCGCGGGGGUGGGGGCGUGUGCCAGCCACACCCUGCUCUGCCCUGGGGUAGCCCAGUUCGGGUUCCCCUUCACGGACGCUCAGCCCCGCGUUGCUCGUGGAUCCGCAGCCCGGGCUCCCACGCGUGACCCGGCCCCGGGGGCUAGUCGCAUCCCAGCGCCGUGUUGGUCUCGGCGGCUCCGGCGCAGCGUUGCUGUCUUCUCCCCUCGCGUCUCGUCCCCUCCCGGGCUCCCCGCACGGAGCCGCGACUGAGGCUGGCAGCUGCAGCCCUCAAACGCGGACCAAGAUCUCCCCCUGCCGGCUGCCUGCUCCGCCAGUGGGGCGGCCCCGGGACCGAGCCGUCCUCCCGUGUCCCGCUCCCCGCGCAGGGCACGAAGCUGCUGGGGGGCUUCAGGCUUGUGCGGGCUCCGCUCCCUGGAGCUGCUGCAGCCCCGCGGUGGAAGAGACGAGCAGCUGUCAGCACUAAAUCAACUCCUGGGCUGCAGACAAGAGUCCUCCGGGCAUUUUCUCCAUUAGGUAUUCUUCUAAUCUAGCCAGCUCCAUCUCCACCUAGGAGAAGGGAAAGGUCCCUGGAGAGCCGGAGGCGAGGUCAGAAAAUUAAGCACAACAUCAAGACGAAGAGAGAGAGACAUUUACAAGAGAUUUUAUCAGGCAAGUCUCAACAACCUUAAUAACCCCUUUAGUCCUUCCUGUCAGGAAAUAGCUUACCUCUAGCAGGUACAGGCUACCUGUUUUUGUACUCUUCCAUGUGAAUAUCCCCUUUCUGAGCAGUGGGGAAUGGCUGGCAAUUGCCACUUCUCCUGACCUGCAUGAUACACCUAUGGAAACUAGUACUAAGUAUUUAUGAACACUAAUCUCUCUGUAUGAUAUCACAGUUGGUUGCCCUGGAAAGUCACAGGGAUGACACUUCAGGUGGAAAAUAAGUAGCAAAGGAAUUUUUAGCCACACAGAGUGCUGUUUUCAUACCUCCCAGGUACGAAAGAGAGAACAAUGGAGAAAGAAUAAACAGAACCUGAAUCUUUUCUAAAUGAACUAAUACCACAGAAAAGAUGCAUGGAAAAAAAAAGCCAGUGACUAGAAAUAUAAAAGUUACAGUUACUGCACAGCUGCCACAGGAUUUCACAUCUUGUAUCCCUUGUCCAGUGUGUUCCACAAUGUAUGCAUUGGAUGCUACAAUAAAGCUAGGAUGCUACCUUAUUACCAGGGAUCCUAGUUUUCUGUUUAAAAAUUGCAAAUUCUCUGAUUAAACACACACGCACUCUGAUUUAAAAACCCAAUAUCCACAUUUUUCUGCAAAAUACAUGGGUAUCAGUUGAAUGUAAUGUUUUAUUGAUAUAUUUAUAAUUUUAAAGCAAAUUAGAAGCCUACCAGUGCCUCAAUCACUAUAAUAAAAUAAAUUCUAAUAA